GACGAACGCUGGCGGCGUGCUUAACACAUGCAAGUCGAGCGGUAAGGCCCCUUCGGGGGUACGACGAGCGGCGAACGGGUGAGUAACACGUGGGUGACCUGCCCUCAGCUCUGGGAUAAGCCUGGGAAACUGGGUCUAAUACCGGAUAUGACUCCAUGACGCAUGUCGUGGGGUGGAAAGCCUUGUGCGGCUGGGGAUGGGCCCGCGGCCUAUCAGCUUGUUGGUGGGGUGAGGCCUACCAAGGCGACGACGGGUAGCCGGCCUGAGAGGGCGACCGGCCACACUGGGACUGAGACACGGCCCAGACUCCUACGGGAGGCAGCAGUGGGGAAUCUUGCGCAAUGGGCGAAAGCCUGACGCAGCGACGCCGCGUGAGGGAUGACGGCCU
rnacentral:rRNA from 1 species